rnacentral:rRNA from 1 species
CUCCUACGGGAGGCAGCAGUGGGGAAUUUUGCGCAAUGGGCGAAAGCCUGACGCAGCGACGCCGCGUGGAGGAUGAAGACCCUUGGGUCGUAAACUCCUGUCAGGUGGGAAGAACAGCGCCCGGUUAACAGCCGGGUGACUUGACUGUACCACCAGAGGAAGCCCCGGCUAACUCCGUGCCAGCAGCCGCGGUAAUACGGAGGGGGCAAGCGUUGUUCGGAAUUACUGGGCGUAAAGGGCGUGUAGGCGGCCGAUCAAGUCGGGUGUGAAAGCCCUCGGCUCAACCGAGGAAUUGCACCCGAUACUGAUGGGCUAGAGUCCGGGAGGGGGUAGCGGAAUUCCCAGUGUAGCGGUGAAAUGCGUAGAUAUUGGGAAGAACACCAGUGGCGAAGGCGGCUACCUGGACCGGAACUGACGCUGAGGCGCGAAAGCUAGGGGAGCGAAUGGGAUUAGAUACCCCGGUAGUCCUAGCUGUAAACGAUGGGCACUUGGUGUGGCGGGUACUGACCCCUGCCGUGCCGGAGCAAACGCGUUAAGCAGGCCACCUGGGGAGUACGGUCGCAAGGCUAAAACUCAAAGGAAUUGACGG